UGGAGAAAGGCGUCUGAAGAAUAGCCAGAGUGGUCAAUCUUUAUCAUACAUCAUUUAACAUGAUUGGUUGCCCAAUGGAAUUUCAUAGACGGUGAAGAUAUGGAAUAAAAGUAGCCUCAGCCAACACUCAAAAACUAAAUUCCAAAAAAAUCUAAAACAACGAGUUCUUGUCCGAUAUGCAGCGUGGCUCCAGUUGCCCAGUGAAGUGUUAGCCAUUCUUAUUCCUAGCAUGAAGCAGCUGCAAACCAGGUCUACCUGAAUAUACACGCAAAUUAACUACAUGAUAUUACACAAGCUUUACAGGUUUCAAACAGAGAAACAGAGCUAACGUGAAUGUGGGUUCUAUUCCCAACCUCAAUCUCAUAAGAAAUAAGAUAACUGCUGCUUUUUCCUCGAACCCCCUUCCCCAUACAAAUCAUUCCACUGCUUCAACUCGUUCAUUAUAGACCCCUCAGAAGAAAAGCUAGCAGCAACCUGAUUCUUGGCUUGUCUGAAGUCUUCCAUCUUUAAUGGCCUAAGGGUAAUUACUCUCUCCUCUUUGCCAUCUUCUUUUGUAUCUGCAGUUUGUCCCGACUUUUGGGCUUCUGCAGCUCUCUGUUUCUUUUCCAGAUCCUUUAAUCUUUCUUGUCGUAUCAACUCUCUAACAGGCCGAUAAGCAGCAGUUGUGCACAGGUUCUUAAGAUCACUUCCUGUAAAUCCUUCAGUCAUUGUAGCAAGCUCCUUAAAAUCCAGUCCUGGUUCCACCUUUUCCUUGGACAAAACAGUUCUAAAUAUCAUUUCCCUGUUCUCAGGUGAAGGAAGUCCCACCAUAAUUCUCCUCUCAAAACGCCUAAUAAUUGCUUCAUCAAGG
rnacentral:misc_RNA from 1 species